GGAUCUCUGGUUGGAGAUCCCUUUCUGGUGGAGUUUUUCCAGGGAGUGACCUUUGGAGAUGGGAUUUCUCAAGAAAUGGCGACUUACAUCACCAUCUUUCUCCAGCUGACUGCACCACUGAACUCCUGGUCAUCUUUGGCACAGCAGGAAGAGUCAAAGUCAGAAUGGUGACAAUCAACUGUGACAGCUCUGCAGCUUGUACUACUGGCGAGAGCAAUAGGAGAACUAAAGAUAUCUUCCAUCUCAUCAGUAGAUGCAGGCAAGACGUUGCUCAGAGCCAUCAGCAAGAUGCAAGUGAGCUGACAGUCAGACUCUUGUACAAGAUUUUCAUGCCUUACAAGUGAAGUUCUUCUAAGAGCCAGUCACCAGGAAGCAUCCACUUUAAUUCAGAGCUGGAAUAUGAAAUCAUACAGUUAGAACAGUACAACGAUUCAUUAUUUUAGGUCUGCUAGGUUAUUUUAUGGAGUUCUGCACUUCAGGUAUUCCAGCCAGGUCUGUGUCCCCAGCUGAGAACUCCAGUGGUUUGCGUAGAAAGGAUGUCCAGAAGAAAAUAACACAGGCAGAAUUGGAUGUCAGUGUUGCUCUGAAGAACUGUUGGUUUAGCAAUUGGGGUGAGAGGACCGUUGUCCCUUAAACACCUGGCAUUUGGAGGCUUCUAAAGUAUACCAUGAAAAGCAAACAAAAUCUGAAGGAAAUGGAGAGUUAAUGUGAAGAAAUAGAUCACUGCUUUGCAAAAUAUCUGUGUGUUUUUCUGAUUAUUAGUACAACAUUUUUGUCUGGAAUUUAUUAAUCCUUUGGAAAUCUGUGCAGAUAACUGUGCAAGGGACAGUUCAUGAUUCCAUGCCUUGAGCAAUACCUCACAGAUGGGAUCUUAAGAGAAGAAAAUAGAUCUUUUCUGAUACUGGCUGACCCUACCAUACCAUGAGUAAGAACAAGCCAAAAGUCUGCAUGUCCACACAUCUCCUCACCCUCCACAGGAAGAUAUCGGGACAAACCUUCUUAAGAAGCAUUUUGUAUAAGUUGCCUUGUUGCCAAUCGUGAAUCUUCAGAACUGUCUGCCAAAUGCCUGACACUGAAGUGAUUUAAGACCUGCAUUAGAUCAGCUUCAACUGAGUGUAGCAUGCUGCCCUGGGAGGGUGACUGCUCAAUGAGCAUUCCCCUGGCUCUGAGAAGUGAGAAAAAUAAGUUCUGUUAAAAGAAAGAAUUAAUAGUAAUUUGAAUUGAGAAGCCUAAAUCCUGCCCAGACAUACACUCAGAACAAGUUCAGAGCUCAGAAUGCCGCAGUAAUGCAUAUCAAACUUUCUUUCACAUAAACUCCUCGAAACAUCAGGAUGAAAUGGUUAUCAGGAUUCUGAAGGACUAAGGUCUUCAUGUGUAGUGCUAACAGUUAAAAAGAAGGAAAAGCAACCAAAUUGCCCCUAGUCUGCUCAAGAGCCCGUCACUGCUUCCUAAGUGGUCACGCUACAAAAUCAAAGAAGUAACAAGGUAUGGUUGGUUACCCUUCCAAAAAUAACUGCAAGUAUUAAGUGCUGUCUUUAUGGAGAAGCCAGACCUCCUGCAGUAAGAGGGAAAAUUGAAUUGACUUGCAAGAGGCCAGAAUGCCACCCACAGAGGUGCUUGAUUGCCAGAAAAUGCUGAGUUCCUGCUGCUUGGAAUCACUGCUGUCCGAUAUCCGGCAUUGUACUGAAAGGCCGCCCAGGGAGGUGGUGGAGUCACCAUUCCUCGAAGUGUUAAGAACCAUGGAGAUGUAGCACUGAGGGACAUGGUCAGUGGGAGCGGUGGAGGUAAAUUUAAGGGCAUGCAUCUCUGGCUGGACUUUUCUGGAAGGACUUUUCUGCAGCCUUUUGCAUUCUCUAUGUUCAGAGGAUAGAAGCUGUAACCAUUCAGUUCUGCAAUCAGGCUUGGCUCCAGUGAAAAUAAAGUUGAAUUCCAACAUAAGGUAACCGGUAAGCUUUUGUGUGAUGGACCACCACCACCAAGAUAACCAGCUUUCAAAUAUGAGGAUAAUGAACACACUGUUUAAGUCCAUGGAACUCUGAUUUACUGUGGCUGAGGCUCUGGAAGAACUUUUUUUUUUCUCUUUGUUUUGUAGACUCAGUUUCAGAGAGGAGACAGACAGCUGGUGGAGUUGCAGAUUUCACAAGCAGGAGGAAUCAAAAUGUGGGAGACCAGGAGGUCAGGACAGCAUGCUUGAUUGCCUACAUGAAGAGUAACAAGCUUCUCCUCUGGUCCCAUGUGAGCCACCUGGAAACCAUUGAGGAGCACAAGAGCCCCAGUAUCAUCUCAGUGGAUGUUUCAGAGAAACUGUUUGAAUGUCUGUGCUAGAAAGGUACAUGAAUUUAUCCUGCAAUGAAUACAGAAGCAUAGGAGAUGGAGGACAGGACCUUGACCUGAACAGAUCUGAAGAAUGAGAUACAGAAAACAGAAAAAAAAAAUCAACUUUUCAUGAAGAGUUGAAAGAAAGAAAAAAGAAGAAAGUGCACGUCCUUCAAAAAGGAAAUCCUCCAGCAAAUCUGCUAAUGAAGUCCCUGCUCAUUUUGCAUUCUGGAUUUGCCCAAAGAGGUGCUAAAUAUCAGCAGGUAAUGGAGGACGGGAACAAUACUGUUGAGCAACGACAAGCAAGUGAGAUUAAAGCUGAAAAUACUGAUUCUACAAGAACUGCUUGUUCAUGGGAAUGCUGCUGCUACAUGCCAGAAAAUCUAAAGAAGAAAAAUAAUGAAAAGGUGAAGUAAUUUCUUUGAAUUCACAGUAAAUCAGCAGACUCAUGGAUCGAAGUCAGACUAAUAGACCAAGGACAAACACAACUGCGGGGAUUGGCCUCUUCUCCCAGCGUAGGAGAGUUUCAAAGAGGAACCUGACAGAUAUUUGCUCCUGCUGGGCUGAGCUGUGAUGCUGGAGAUUUCAAGAAGAUACUCCACAGCAGUUGAGUGACUUUCUCAUUGCAAGGCAACGCUGGGAAAAGCAUCCUCUCCAGGUAGGAAGAAAGUGUAAAAAGAAGUCCGGAAAUGAGGCUUAUAUCUGAUGGAUAUGGGGUGCUGGCAGGGUCAUGCCUGGAAAGAAGUGGUGCACCAAAACUGACAAGGUAGGGAAACCUUCCAUCCAGGUUUACAGAGAAUAGCAGAGGGUUCACUCUCAUUUUGAUCUGAUAUAAUGCUUUGAAUCUGGGAAAAUAUAUGGUAUAACUUUUCAUUACAAAAUAUUUAUUUUUUAACAUGUGAGACUAGAUGCAUUUCACAGUUUUAUUUUGCUGUUUCCUGUCUGUCUUUCUUCAACUCUCGUGCCUGUUAAAUGUCAAAAAAAAAAAAAAACUUAUGCGAAGAGGCCAUGAGGGUGCAGGUCUGCUAAAGAGUCUGAGGGUAAUCAAUAAUGUGGAUUUGAUUUUCAGCCAUGCCAAAUAGCUCUGGUUCCACAUGGCAUUAUCAGCACCAGUAAGCAGUCAGUGUUAUACAUGGAGAUCUUUAAGUGCUCUUGGAUUGUUUCUUGAUUGGUAUCUGUGGGGAAAAAGAAGGUAACUUGACUUGUAAAGUUUCAAGAUUCAACCCACAUUUAUUUAUUGUUUCACAAUUUCCAGACUCCUCAUGGGAGUUACAAACAUAAGCCUGCAUCCUUGGGAGUACCAUGUGCUCCUGCACAUCAGUCUUGGGCUGCUGGAGCUUUAUUGCUGCUUUCACAGCUGUUGUGUUCCCAUACAUAAUUAAUAAGCAAACACUUCAUAAGGUAUUGUGAAUGGAUAAUGUUAUUAUAUUGUCCAUCGCACAUUGAAAUCAAAAUGGACCAAGACAAAUUUUUACUAGUAUCUGAACAUUAUUUCUAAGGAGGAGAUGAAAGUGUUUCACAACAUAUUGAUCUGUACCUGAGCGUAAAUGAUUAAUGUACUGUGGUCCAACUGCAGCUGGAUUUCUUUUGACAACAGCCAUGAAACAAGCUAUAAUCUCAUAUCCAUUGAUAGAUCGAUAUAUAUAGGUAUGUAUUUUUAUAUAUAGAUGCAUUUACCUUUAUCGUGUGAUUGAGUGGCAGACCUUGCAUUAUAAAUCAAGGCUUGGCAAAAGUGGAAGUAUAAACUUGACACAUUUCUGGAUGUAUGUGAUCUAGUAUUUAUUAGUUUUUUCCUCUCAGUGUGAUUCUCUUUCCAACUUUCCUCAUUUUUGACUGAGAAUCCCUUGAUAGACUAUUAUUUCCAAAAUUUUUCUCUAUACUGAAAUACUGUCAAUACUACUUGAAAUGUGUUAUGGAAAGAAUGCCAUUUGUCCAUUGCUCUGCUUAAGAUGGGCACUUAUGAGUUAAUUUUUUUAAAUCUCCAUUUUUCUUCCAUAAAAUCUUCUGAUGUAAGUAUAAACAAAUAAGAAGGUAAGACUGAAGUUGAAAUGGGGAAAAAUGUGGGCAAGACAAUUAACAUUUGCAAAGCAAUAAGGACUUACCUGAAUAGCUUAAUUGAACACUGGAGACUUCGUGUUUCUGGGGAGAAAGAAGAAUAAAUUCAGUGCCAUUUAACACUGAUGUGUUAAGCAAUGUAAGUUGCUACAUUAAUAAUCUUUCCUGGCAUAUUGAGUGGGAAUUUCGUAUCUAUUUAUUUCUUUAUGCUGUAUCUAUUGCAGGAAUUCUUUCUCCUGUACUCUUUUCUGACAAGCGAACCUCAGUAUGCCAACAGAAUAACUCUGCCUUCCUUGCCACGCACAAUAGACUGUUUUUAAUGCCUUGAUUACAAUUCACAUCUAAUGCCUAGGGAAAGAAGAACCAUUCUGAGAAGCUUUCAAAAUAUGUUUGCGGUCUCAUAACCAACUCAAACUGCAAAUAUGUUUUUCUUUUAUGGGUUUACACUUAGCAACUGAACAUAGUUAUAUCUGCCCAGAAGCCUUGUACAUAAUUACGUCUUGAUUCACACUGGUUCUGGGAAAGCAUUAAGUCAAAAUGGUUAUAAAUAUGUAAUCUGAAUAAUUUGAUUUGUCAGUGAGAAACAGUAUUUAACUACAAUAUUUUGGAUGAAGUUGCUGCUUUCGUUGAAUACUUGCAUUUGUAUUGUAAUAAGCCACUGCAAACCAAUAAUGAAUGGCAAACUUUGGAAGUAUGGAAAUUAUAUUGUCUGAGGAAACCUGCAACACAGUACAAUGAUAACUGGCUCAGUCAAGGGUAAAAUCAAGAGGAAAAAUAGUUAAUUCUAUUUUCUUGACAUUUGUUGUUGCUUUGUUUUGUUUUGUUUUUUAAACGAGAGAGAGAUUUUUUCCCAGUGCUUCAGAAACCUUCUUCGUAUCACCUCAUGUCAGAAGCAAUUGUAUGGAGUGGAUGUAAAAAGGCCUGGGACAAUUGCACAGUUCAUACUGUAAAGAUGAAAGCAGCCUGCUCUUUCUGGUACAUAUCCGCUUUGAUCUACAUAGUGUGGAAAACUGAGACCUUGCCCAGCAUAAUGCUGCAGGCUUCUGCCGUGUUGCAAGUCCUUGGAACAGAGAGAGGAAAAGGUGCUGUACUCAUACCAUGGCAGUUACAGAAGAACAAAGACUGGUAUAUGCUGAAACUUGUCAGUUGAUGAAGUUAGCCCUGCAAAUGGAUUUAAAAACUUCUUUGUCAAAAAAGUGGAUGCUUAUCACUCAAUUAUUUUUAUGUCCUCAAGCUGAAUCUAUUACUUAUUCAUCACAAUCGUAAUACUAAAUUGAGUUACCAGAAGAGGUUGAGAUUGCUUUUACUUUCCAUCCUUCAAGGGCUGUGAGGCUAGAUACGGCAGGUACUCUGAACCUGUUGCUUCAGGACCCCAGGAAGACUCAAGCCUUUCCAGUAUCAAGUUGUUGACAAAGAUGAGUCCCUGCCAGUAGGAUCCAAGGACUACUUGUGUCACUGCAGUGAGGAGGACAUCACGCAAGUCACAUACAACCAAAUUGCAAGAUAACUGCCGAGCUCAUGAGGGAUAUGCAAUUCUACAAACCUCCCAAAGUAAACUCACAAUUUGCGCUCCCUGAAGGCACUAAAAAUCAACGAGAGUCAUGGAAUACUGGAACAUAUGGAAGAGUUUGCCACCCUUUGCACAAACACACAAGACACCAUUACCCUACAGGGCUACAUCAUAUUUAUGUUUGCUAUUAGAAUGCACCUCAGUAAUACGCACGGCCCCAUUCAAAGUGAAGCAUGGCAACACCUGGUGUUUGUGUGAAACCAUCCCAGAAGGUUUACAAAUUCAAUUAAGAAAAAACGCAAUGAGCUGUGGCAGGGAAGAUAAGUGCUAUACAGGCAGGAAGGCAUUACUUAUAGUGACAAAUCUGCUGGCACCACUCAAGUGUCUGUGCCUAAAGAAGGAGACUGAAUGUGACAGGAAAACAACCCUUAACAGAAAUGUUAUUCUUCUACUUUAUCGAGAUUUCUUAGUGAACUUUGGGAUGCAGUUGCAAUCACACAUCCUUAUCUGUUACAUUUUAAAUUGCUACUGCUUGCUUUCACACACGCACCAAUCCAGUUGAAAUGCAAAACUAUUAAGAUGUACAUAAAGUCAUGAGGUAUCUUAGAGGCUCGGAUAAAACACAGAAAAUUUCAAAACUUCAGAUUCCACUAAGAAUGAAAAAUAAAAAUAAUAAAAAAACAUACCUGAUGAAUGCUUACAUAUGUCCUCUCAGAGUGCUCAGCCUCUGUCUGGUUCCCAAUGCAAGGCAAAGAAUCGUAGAAUCACUGCAGUUGGAAAGACCACUAAGAUCACCCAGUCAACUCAUCAACCCAUUACCACCAUAGCACUAACCCAGGCCAACCACAUGUAGCUUCCUUCCCACCACUGUGAGUGGAAGACUCGCACAUUCAAUCAUCACAAAGCCAACCAAAUGCAUCCCUGGACUCACUUCAGCCUUUUCCAGCACCCACACUAACAACAGCCCCAAGGAGCUGUGAGAGAACACCUGGGAGCCAGCUUCAGCCUCAGUCGUGGUCCUCUGCUUCCCUGGGAUAAUGUGGAUUUCUCAUAUAAUGAUCUACAAAACCCCUUCAAAUAUAUUGCUAGCAUUCACUGUCACUGCACGUUUACAGGCAACUCUUACAGAAGCAGAUCCAGAUACCUUGGAAGCUGCUACGUUCCAUGAGCUCCCAAUCAGAAGCACUCUUGAAAUCAUUCAAAGGGAAAAGAAGAGUGAUCUUAAUAGCGCUGAAGGAUGCUUUGCAGAUGCACCAGUAAUCAAUACCGGUGAGGUUUUUCCUUCCCCAGAGGCAACAGAACUUACCUGAGGUGAAUACGGGAAGUUUCAUCUCAAAUGAGAUUCUUCCAAGUGAGGCUGAACAAGGUUUUGCAUAUUAUGAAAAGCGUGCCUGGAUAAUAAAGCACUUAGUAGAGGAAAAAGAGCUGAGAAGAACAAAAUUAGAUUCUGGAAGUCCAUAAUAGCAGUAAGAAACAGGGAUGAAACAAUGUUCUAGCUGCAAACAGUUGUAACACUGGUGUAAGAUACCGGUGCUGUGGCUGGGAGUGUCUUUCUCUGUAGAAAUAGCAAUUUGAGGUUAAAUGUUGAUUUGUUUUCACAGGAGGUGACACAGCUGUACAUACCUGCAUAGUGUAAUUAACUCCCGCUUUUAUUAGAUGCUUAAUUAGUUCUGCUGAAUGCUGGAAGUGGACUUUAGCUGCAAGACAACAUUUGGAUAUUAUUAGAAAAAGUGAGGUCAUAUAAAAUGUAGUCUCUGUCACUGCCAGAAGCGAGCUGAGUACCCCUCGGCCCAGAAAUGCAGAGCCCACCCAGCAAAAGCCACACAGCCCCUAACAGCGGGCCUCUGGAGAAGAAGCUGGGACCCAGGAAAACUGCUGAACUGGCACUGUGCAAGGACUCCCCUUGAUUUACACACACUGAGAUAGAUUAGAUGUGUGUAAAACCAUUCUCUUUGAGCAUCGUGACAGUUUAUAAUUGUGUCAAGGGAAAGAACAUCGGAUUUUCUACUGCUUGCACAAGGUUAUUAUGGCCCAUACUUCUUCAGGUAACGGACUUUCUGCAACAUAUCAGCAACUUAAUCUUUGUGUGGUGAAAACAGCCAACUUUAUUACUGUGUCCUCCCCCUGCAGAGUGCUGUGAGUGGGCUGGGCAGUGUCACUGGAUGCGGUAUUCAGUAAGAGCAGCAGCAAUUACAGUCAUAGAGCUGAACAGCCCGUGCUGCUCAGCCAGCCAUCAGAAUCCCAAUUCUAUCAUUUGAGCUGCAUCAAAGAACAUUCUUUAGCUUCGCGUCAGUUAGGAGAGUUCAGAAAAAUACGCGGUAGGUACAUUUAAAUCUAGAGUUAUAAAAUCUCUCUUGAUUGAUGCAACCUAUAAUUCCAUUUAAAGUGCUUUAAGUUACUUUGAUUUACUUACUCUCUGUCUGAAGCUACUGAUGAAACUAUUGGUGCUAUUAAAAGGAACCCGGUAGCUCUGGCUUCA